UAGGUAACCUGCCUUGUAGCGGGGGAUAACUAUUGGAAACGAUAGCUAAUACCGCAUAACAAUGGAUGACACAUGUCAUUUAUUUUGAAAGGGGCAAUUGCUCCACUACAAGAUGGACCUGCGUUGUAUUAGCUAGUAGGUGAGGUAAUGGCUCACCUAGGCGACGAUACAUAGCCGACCUGAGAGGGUGAUCGGCCACACUGGGACUGAGACACGGCCCAGACUCCUACGGGAGGCAGCAUG
rnacentral:rRNA from 1 species